GACGAACGCUGGCGGCGUGCUUAACACAUGCAAGUCGAACGGUGAAGCUCCAGCUUGCUGGAGUGGAUCAGUGGCGAACGGGUGAGUAACACGCGAGCAACCUGCCCCUGACUCUGGAAUAAGCGCUGGAAACGGCGUCUAAUACUGGAUACGAGAAGGGUCCGCAUGGGCACUUUCUGGAAAGUUUUUCGGUUGGGGAUGGGCUCGCGGCCUAUCAGCUUGUUGGUGAGGUAAUGGCUCACCAAGGCGACGACGGGUAGCCGGCCUGAGAGGGCGACCGGCCACACUGAGACUGAGACACGGCCCAGACUCCUACGGGAGGCAGCAGUGGGGAAUAUUGCACAAUGGGCGAAAGCCUGAUGCAGCGACGCCGCGUGAGGGAUGACGGCCUUCGGGUUGUAAACCUCUUUCAGCAGGGAAGAAGCGAAAGUGACGGUACCUGCAGAAGAAGCACCGGCUAACUACGUG
rnacentral:rRNA from 1 species